UCCAAAACCACCCUCGGCGUAAAAGCGCCUUGUUUUUGCAAAGCAAUCUGGACGGGUACUCUGCAGAUCCCCAGAGUGCAAGCCUGGCUGCCUGCCCGUCCUUGCAGAGCUGUGGUUCCUGGAGUGGAUUUGUCACCAUUCCCUCUGCCUUUCUGCCCUCCCUGGGCAGCCUGCCUGCAUCUGGUGUUAGCUGGGGGCAGCUCACACUGGGGCCUCGUGAAUUCCUGGUCUUCAGCUCUGACCUGAGAGGUGACGCUCGGUUGUUUUUCCUCCUAGCGCUGCUCUGGUUUUCAAACCGAAACCCUGAGGACCUGCUUCACCUGCCUUGAAAAUCGCUGGAACCUUCCCAGGUCCUGAUGUGAUGGAGGAGCCGCGGGCAGCUCUGCCUUGCCAAACCCUCCCUGGCAGGAGGGACUUGGAGGAGCUGGGAGAUGAAGUGUAACCUUCCAUAAACCCUUGGACUUUAUGGUUUCCAGGAGGAUUUUGAGGGCAUUGCAAGAGCUUCAACUGCUGCAGCUAAAGGCCCUGCGCUCUUGGCACAGAUGCAGAGGGACCGAAACAGCUUCUCACCUGGAGGUGCCACCAGCUCCAAAACCCUCAGGUGGCAGCAGGCGCUUCCCGGGGCUCCCUUGCCCAGACCAUGGCCACUGCUCAGCCCACCCCCCCGAAAUCCCAGUGCUGGCUGGGGCCAGGGAGCAAGGACACAUCCCUGCAGGACUGAAACCCUCCAGCUGCUGCUUCUCCUUCCAGACCCUGCUGCCCUUCUCGACAUGUCGGUCCCUUCGCAGAGACCAGUUGGAGUGAGCUGUGCUGGCCAGGCCUGAUGCAGAGGUGAGGGGCACCAGUGAGGGAGUUUGGGGCUUCACCCCCAGCUGUCCUAGCCCAAACCAGGCCAGGUGCUUGUAGCUGCGGUGCCAGCAUGCUCUGUGCAUGGCACUGCAUGGUACUCUGAGCACACCCACGCCAGGGCAGCACCAAGCCCGACAGCCCUGGGGCUGUGGAUGAGCACCCAGGGGUGCUGCUCAGCUCCUCUGCUGGUGGCUCCACAGAUGCCAAGCCCUUGCUGGGCUUAUGAGGAGGGAGCUGCACCCAGUUUCUCAGUGCUAAUCUGUAACUGUCUGCCUGGUUUGCAUGCCUAAUUACAGCAAUGGUGUAUGGAAAUCAGGCCCGUGUUUUUCAAGCCUGGUUGUUUAUUUGAGCUGUUUAAAAAUCCACUUUCCCUCCCCAGUGAACGCUGAGAAAACUGUGUGGGUUUUUUGAGAGCGGGACCAAAGCAGAUUGGCAGUUCCCUCUAUCCUGCCCCUACUAGCUGGGUUCCCCACCCCCCCAGCAGCGCUGCAGUGUGGGGCUGGCUGUGGGAGCCGUGUCCAGCACUGACCCCGCACCCCUAACCCAGCCACCGAGCCACGACUGCAGCCUUGGGGCAGUGGCCCAGCUCUGCAUCCCAGCGGGAUGCUGCUGGUCCCUGGGCUUACCCUUCCCUGGACUGCAGGGAGUCUAGAGCCUGCCAGGAGUGAACUUGUUUUCAGGGAAAAAAACCCCAAAACCAAAAAUAAAGAAACCAAAUUUUCCACAGGCUUUUUGGCUGCAUGGGCAGGGCUGAGUGCCCGGAGCUGUGGGUGUGGGAGCCUGGCAGUCUCUGCCCCUGAACACCCCGUCUUGGGGCAGGGGCUGAUGAUACCUGCUCCUGGCAUUGCUGGUGAUGCAGACACCCAUGGGUACCUCCAGCUUGCUCUGUCCUUAAUGCUAUUUGGUGUU